GGACCCGCACAAGUAGUGGAGCAUGUGGUUUAAUUCGAAGAUACGCGCAGAACCUUACCAACACUUGACAUGUUCGUCGCGACUUUAAGAGAUUAGAGUUUUCGGUUCGGCCGGACGAAACACAGGUGCUGCAUGGCUGUCGUCAGCUCGUGUCGUGAGAUGUUGGGUUAAGUCCCGCAACGAGCGCAACCCUUACUUUUAGUUGCCAUCAUUUAGUUGGGCACUCUGAAAGAACUGCCAGUGAUAAGCUGGAGGAAGGUGGGGAUGACGUCAAGUCCUCAUGGCCCUUACGUGUUGGGCUACACACGUGCUACAAUGGUAUCUACAACAGGAAGCAAAACGGCGACGUUAAGCAAAUCCUUAAAAGAUACCUCAGUUCGGAUUGCACUCUGCAACUCGAGUGCAUG
rnacentral:rRNA from 1 species